GGGUUGUGAGGUUAAGCGACUAAGCGUACACGGUGGAUGCCCUGGCAGUCAGAGGCGAUGAAGGACGUGCUAAUCUGCGAAAAGCGUCGGUAAGGUGAUAUGAACCGUUAUAGCCGGCGAUGUCCGAAUGGGGAAACCCAGUGUGAUUCGUCACACUAUCGUUAACUGAAUACAUAGGUUAACGAGGCGAACUGGGGGAACUGAAACAUCUAAGUACCCCGAGGAAAAGAAAUCAACCGAGAUUCCCCCAGUA
rnacentral:rRNA from 1 species